GACGAACGCUGGCGGCGUGCCUAAUACAUGCAAGUUGAGCGCUGAAGGUUGGUACUUGUACCAACUGGAUGAGCAGCGAACGGGUGAGUAACGCGUGGGGAAUCUGCCUUUGAGCGGGGGACAACAUUUGGAAAUGAAUGCUAAUACCGCAUAAAAACUUUAAACACAAGUUUUAAGUUUGAAAGAUGCAAUUGCAUCACUCAAAGAUGAUCCCGCGUUGUAUUAGCUAGUUGGUGAGGUAAAGGCUCACCAAGGCGAUGAUACAUAGCCGACCUGAGAGGGUGAUCGGCCACAUUGGGACUGAGACACGGCCCAAACUCCUACGGGAGGCAGCAGUAGGGAAUCUUCGGCAAUGGACGAAAGUCUGACCGAGCAACGCCGCGUGAGUGAAGAAGGUUGUCGGAUCGUAAAACUCUGUUGGUAGAGAAGAACGUUGGUGAGAGUGGAAAGCUCAUCAAGUGACGGUAACUACCCAGAAAGGGACGGCUAACUACGUG
rnacentral:rRNA from 1 species